rnacentral:rRNA from 1 species
CGGCAACAGCUCAAAUUUGAAAUCUGGCUCCGUGCGGAGUCCGAGUUGUAAUUUGCAGAAGAUGCUUCGGGUGCGGCGCCGGUCCAAGUUCCUUGGAACAGGACGUCGCAGAGGGUGAGAAUCCCGUA